rnacentral:lncRNA from 1 species
UACAUUUUGUGACUCAUGUGUGAGGGUUCCUAUUAUAAUAGUAGGGGAAAAAAAAAGCCCUUGAAACUACUUCAAUCUCUUCCUCUCACAGAAAGAAUAAACCAAAAUAAUACAGCAUGCAUGAGGGAACAGAUGCCACCAAAUACUGGAGAGGUAAUGAUUCCCACCAUAUUCCCAUUUAGCUGUGCCUUAGGCUGGUGUCAAUCCUAAUCAGGUCUUAGAGGAAGGCUAUGGCAUAGCGUAAAGUUAAUCAGAUGAUGAUACCAAUUGCAGUUGUGGUCACAGGUGUGGCAUCUUUAUUGGAGCAAGGCUAUACCUUCCCAGCUCUUUACAUAUACCUACCAAUAUACUGUUUCCAUUAACAAAAUCACAUUCAUUUAGCUUCACAAAUCAGAGUCAGCAGCGAGGCUUCAUUGCCUUACCUCAGGUUUCUCGACUCUCCUGUUCUCCGUCGUAAUCCAGAGGAACCCUGGUUGUCUUGCUGUCAUGCUGGUGCACAGUUGGGUGCUAUUUAUAUACUGAGCCUAGCAAGCUUGAAGUAGCAAGCAGUCUUCAAGUCUUAGUGUAUGCAAGAGGGUGGGAGACAUGUCCUUUGAGAGAAUUGAGAAACCCGCCACACUGGCUAGAGUGAUGAAUUUCAAUUUCUAGGAAGAAAUCAAGUGGAUACUACGCAGUGUGGAUAUAGAGAAUUAUAUAUGGAACUCAAUAUUCUUUGGGGGCCUUUGAAAACUUCUUUGUCCCAAAGUAAAGGUUAAUCGAGAGCUACAGCAAUCAAAUAAGGCAAGGUGAAUGAGGACUUGACCUUUCAGAAGUGGAGAUUUGGGUUCUGACAGGAGGUAAAGAAUUCUGACCAGCUUUGGUUGACUAAUCCAACUAAAACUUUGGAACCAAUUAUAGAAAUGAGGACUUUGGUAGCUUUGUUUGUUUUUUCUUUGCUUGUUAUAUGUAUAUACUAAUCAUUUUAUGUUUCUCUUCUCAUUACUACUUAAUAUAUAAGUUCAUGCAGAUUAAAUUUAAAAUUCAUUCUUUAGAUAAUAGAAUUCAGGCAGGCUGUGACUGAAUUUGAGAAGUAAAUAACAUAACUAAUGAUAGAUUCAAUAGCUGUUGGAACCACGAAUCUUGAAAUUUGGGAGAAAAGGUAAGAACAUCAUUUAUCACAGCCACAUCAGUGUUUAUAGCAGCACAAUUCACAAUAGCUAAACUGUGGAAGCAACCUAGAUGCCCUUCAGUAAAUAAAUCUCAG